rnacentral:rRNA from 1 species
UACGGAGGGUGCGAGCGUUGUCCGGAAUCAUUGGGCGUAAAGCGCGCGUAGGCGGCCCCGGUAAGUCCGCUGUAAAAGUCAAAGGCUCAACCUUUGAAUGUCAGUGGAUACUGCCGGGCUAGAGUCCGGAAGAGGCGAGUGGAACUCCUGGUGUAGCGGUGAAAUGCGCAGAUAUCAGGAGGAACACCAAUUGCGAAGGCAGCUCGCUGGGACGUAACUGACGUCUGAGAACGCGGAAAGCCAGUGGGGAGCAAACAACGG